rnacentral:rRNA from 1 species
AGAGAAUUUAGCAGAGGUGCUUUAGUGCCUUCGGGAACUCUGAGACAGGUGCUGCAUGGCUGUCGUCAGCUCGUGUUGUGAAAUGUUGGGUUAAGUCCCGNAACGAGCGCAACCCUUAUCCUUUGUUGCCAGCACGUAAUGGUGGGAACUCAAAGGAGACUGCCGGUGAUAAACCGGAGGAAGGUGGGGAUGACGUCAAGUCAUCAUGGCCCUUACGAGUAGGGCUACACACGUGCUACAAUGGCGCAUACAAAGAGAAGCGACCUCGCGAGAGCAAGCGGACCUCAUAAAGUGCGUCGUAGUCCGGAUUGGAGUCUGCAACUCGACUCCAUGAAGUCGGAAUCGCUAGUAAUCGUAAAUCAGAAUGUUACGGUGAAUACGUUCCCGGGCCUUGUACACACCGCCCGUCACACCAUGGGAGUGGGUUGCAAAAGAAGUAGAUAGCUUAACCUUCGGGAGGGCGUUUACCACUUUGUGAUUCAUGGCUGGGGUGAAGUCGUAACAAGGUAAGCGUAGUGCU